UACGUAGGGUCCGAGCGUUGUCCGGAAUUAUUGGGCGUAAAGGGCUCGUAGGCGGUUUGUUGCGUCGGCUGUGAAAUCCCGAGGCUCAACCUCGGGUCUGCAGUCGAUACGAGCAAACUAGAGUGUUGCAGGGGAGACUGGAAUUCCUGGUGUAGUGGUGGAAUGCGUAGAGAUCCGGAGGAACACCAGCGGCGAAGGCGGCAUCCUGGACUGGUCCUGACACUCAUGAGCGAAAGCGUGGGGAGCGAUCCGG
rnacentral:rRNA from 1 species